GAGAGUUUGAUCCUGGCUCAGGACGAACGCUGGCGGCGUGCCUAAUACAUGCAAGUCGAACGCUUCUUUUUCCACCGGAGCUUGCUCCACCGGAAAAAGAGGAGUGGCGAACGGGUGAGUAACACGUGGGUAACCUGCCCAUCAGAAGGGGAUAACACUUGGAAACAGGUGCUAAUACCGUAUAACAAUCGAAACCGCAUGGUUUUGAUUUGAAAGGCGCUUUCGGGUGUCGCUGAUGGAUGGACCCGCGGUGCAUUAGCUAGUUGGUGAGGUAACGGCUCACCAAGGCGACGAUGCAUAGCCGACCUGAGAGGGUGAUCGGCCACAUUGGGACUGAGACACGGCCCAAACUCCUACGGGAGGCAGCAGUAGGGAAUCUUCGGCAAUGGACGAAAGUCUGACCGAGCAACGCCGCGUGAGUGAAGAAGGUUUUCGGAUCGUAAAACUCUGUUGUUAGAGAAGAACAAGGAUGAGAGUAACUGUUCAUCCCUUGACGGUAUCUAACCAGAAAGCCACGGCUAACUACGUGCCAGCAGCCGCGGUAAUACGUAGGUGGCAAGCGUUGUCCGGAUUUAUU
rnacentral:rRNA from 1 species